rnacentral:rRNA from 1 species
AGCUCUGCGAAUGUGCACUAAUGUUGCUGCGGUUAAAAAGCUCAUAGUUGGAAAGAGUUGGGUGUGUGUUAUGCAUGCCGUACUUGUGAGGGUUCACGUCUUUAUUGACGUGUUACUCGCUCAAGCAACUAACGCUUCAACAACUUGUUGAGGCUUAUUACUUUGAACAAAUCAGAGUGCUUAAAGCAGACUUACUGUCUGAAUGAUUUUGCAUGGAAUAUGAGAAAAAGACGGAGAUUUGUUGUGUUUCUCGAACAAUCUCACGUAAUGACUAAUGGGGUCUUGACGGUGGCGUACGUACUGCAGCGCGAGAGGUGAAAUUCUUGGACCGUUGCAUGACGCACAACUGCGAAGGCAUUCGCCAAGCAUGAUCUCA